CGGAGUUAUCUAUAAAGAAAUCAUCAAUCUUAUCAUCGGUUUCAUCGAAUACUCUCUAUAAAUGCCACCUCAGUUCUCAAUCAAAAAAUACAUCAAAAUAGAACUUGUUUUUAACUUUUUUUCAUUCUAGUUAUAUAGAAUCCAAAACUUCUCAAAAACAAAAAAUGGUAGGAAAAAAUAUUCUUAAUUUUAGAGGUUUUCCACUCUCCAAAAAAAGAUUAAUUUUGGAGCUGGAAAGGAAGUUAAAAUUACUAGAUAAAUUAUUUUAUUGACAUACCAGCUAGAAAUGAGUGGCAUGGGAAAAUUAAAGACGUAAUGGGGGCUUCACCCGACUUCUUCCGGCAACUCAGUUGCAGCUCCAGCAAUUUCUCUUGCACCACAUGAGGAGGGAAACAUGGCAUCCAGCGCUGAUGUCUCAGCGGAUAGUGGACAGUCUCUUCAGGAACAACCUGUAGUUUUCGUCCCUAUCCAACAUGCUCACCCGAACAUAACUCGAGCUCGCACCGAAAUGCCUCCCUCCUCUUGUCAAUAUCCUGUGGCCUCUAA